CCCCAACCUCCACAGACCCCUGACCUAGAGGAAUCAGAGGCUAGAAGUUUGGGGCAGCUUAUCCCAACUCUCACCUGAAUGGACUGUCAGCACCAUCAUGACAACCUGUCCCGGCAUAUUCUGAAGUGACUGCAAUGGCGAUGCCUCCUUCAAUAGCUCAGGCCGCCCGCACACAGGGCAAAGUUGCUCCGUAGACAAUGCGGUGAGUGGCAGAGCCCAGCUAGGAUCUGAACCACUGGCACGUUACUACCCAGGCCCCUCCUUGAGUGAGGAGGGCACAGGCUAUACCCACUGGAGCCCCUAUUUCCAGAUUGGACAAACAAGGCAAAGUCCUUGACUCCAUGGGGCACUUCCUGCAGCAGGACAGUCUGCUGUGGUCAGCCCCAGACUUCCAGACCAUCUGCAAAGCUGGUGCCCCUCGGCAGCCAGAUUCAGCCUAAUGCAUGCAGGAAGUUCGGUGAUGUCAGGGGGCGUGUCUAUCCCGCCCUCUUUGUCUCUCCGGUGCCUGUGAACGCGAGCCACAGAGAAGGAAUAAGUGAACUCAACCCUCUUCUGGAAUCUGAUAGUGGUGAUGGCUGCCCAACUCUGUGAAAAUACCAAAAACCACUGAAGUGCAUACUUUAAAAGGGUGAACUUGAUGGAAUGCAGUUUAGAUAUAAAAAAAAAACUGUUAGUUUUUUUUAAAAUGCAAGCCAUAAAAUGACAGAGGAUUUAUAUCCAGAACAGAUACACAACUCCAGCAAGUCAAUGAUACAAAAGGAAACAACCAAAUACAAACAAUGGAUAGACAAAUGGAAGGGCAACUUUGUAAAAGAGGAAAUCUAAUGAAAUUGAAAUGGCCAAUAAACAUGAAAGUGAUCAGGUCCACCCAUCAUCAGGGAAUGCGAGGUAAAGCCUACUGACAUGUUGAUACCUGGCAGAAACCAACACAGUGCUGUGAAGCAGUUAUCCUCCAGUUAAAAAUAAACAGGUUAAAAAGCACAACGAGGGACGUCCCUGGGGAUCCAGUGACUAAGGCUGUUCUUCCAACGAGUGGGAUUAGGGGCAUGGGGCUAAAAUCCCACAUGUUGCGUGGUGAGGCCAAAAAAAAAAAAAAUUAAUUUUUGUCACAUGAUGAAGUACUACCACAAUGAGGACUGAUGCUUUUCACCUACAGGUGACAAGAUGAACACGUAUUACAAACGCCGUGCUGUGCAAAACAACCCAGAAACGAGAGUCCACACCACAGUUCUACUCACAGACGCAGUUGUUCUCUGGUGGGACAAGGUUGGAUAGUGGGGACUCCCUGUGGGAGGCGAGUAGGGUGGGAGGAAAAGGUGGGAGGUGCCAGGGUGCUUGUGAUACUUUACUUCUUCAUUUGCAUGACAGUUACAUAAGUGUGCCCAUUUGUGAACAUUUUUUGAGCUGCAUACACACAUUGUAUGUGUGUGUGUGAUAUUUCAAUUCAAAAAUUAAAAAAAUCCUACCCAUUCUUCCAUGUACUUUUAACAUACUCCCUCAAUAGCAUUCAAAAAGUCACACAGUCUCUGGGUUAAGAGGAACUGAUGGUAACUCUACCUCCUCUGAUGAACUAUGGAAUGAGGUUCGUGACAUUGUACAGGAGA
ensembl:lncRNA